rnacentral:rRNA from 1 species
AUUGAACGCUGGCGGCAGGCCUAACACAUGCAAGUCGAACGAGGGGCGGGCGGGUGUGUAAUAUCGGGAAAACUGCCUGAUGGAGGGGGAAAAACAGUGGAAAGGGGAGAUAAUAGCGCAUAACAUCGGGUGUGCCCAGAUGGGAUUAGCUAGUAGGUGGGAUAAAGGCUCACCUAGGCGACGAUCCCUAGCUGGUCUGAGAGGAUGACCAGCCACACUGGAACUGAGACACGGUCCAGACUCCUACGGGAGGCAGCAGUGGGGAAUAUUGCACAAUGGGCGCAAGCCUGAUGCAGCCAUGCCGCGUGUAUGAAGAAGGCCUUCGGGUUGUAAAGUACUUUCAGCGGGGAGGCGUUACCCGCAGAAGAAGCACCGGCUAACUCCGUGCCAGCCGCCGCGGUAAUAC